rnacentral:lncRNA from 1 species
UCCUGACCUCAAGUGAUCCGCCCGCCUUGGCCUCCCAAAGUGCUAGGAUUACAGGCAUAAGCCACCAUGCCCAGCCCCUUUCUUGCUUGUUUCCUUGCUUGCUUUCCUUCUUAUUUCUUUCUCUUAUUAAUAUUAUUUUUUUGAGACAGGUUGGAGUACAGUGGCAUGAUCUCAGAUCACUGCAAGCUCCACCUCCCCGGCUCAAGUGAUCCUUCCAUCUCAUCCUCCAGAGUAGUUGGGACUACAGGAUUAGUGCCCUUAUGAAAGAGGCUUCCCAUGGCUGUUGGCCCUUUUGCCCUUCUGCCUUCUGCCAAGUGAGGACAGUGUUCCUCCCCUCUGGAGGAUGCAGCUUUCAAGCCACCAUUGUGGAAACCAAAAUUGGACCCUCAUCAGACACAGAAUUUGCUGGAACCUUGAUCUUGGACUUCCCAGCCUUCAGAACUGAGAGAAAGACAAUGUCACUGCAGCCUUGAACACCUGGGCUCAAGGGAUCCUUCCACUUCGGCUUCCCAAGUAGCUGGGACUACAGUCUUGCUCUGUCACCCAGGCUGGAGUGCAAUGGCGCGAUCUCGGCUCACCACAACCUUCGCCUCCCAGGUUCAAGCAAUUCUCCUGCCUCAGCCUCCCGAAUAGCUGGGAUUACAGGCUCCUGCCACCAUGGCUGGCUAAUUUUUUUGUAUUUUUAGUAGAGAUGGGGUUUCACCAUGUUGGCCAGGCUGGUCUCGAAAUCCUGACCUCAGGUGAUCCACCUGUCUCGGCCUCCCAAAGUGCUGGGAUUACAGACGUGAGCCACCACGCUCAGCCACACAUGGGUUUUUAUAAAUAAGCAGAUUUCUUUUUCAUAGUGCAUGCAAUGGAGAAAAGCAGAUAACUCUAUCUCCAUCAGCUUGUCCCCAAAGUCCAAGCCCCUCUCCUUGUCACCCAGCACACCCUCAUCUCAAGUGCUCAGCCUUUCUUGUCCUGACUCAGCUCCUACCUUCCCCACAUCCCACUUCCUCCACCAUGCUGCCCUGACGUAACCAGCAAACGUCCUAUAUCCUCGCACCUUCUGAAGAGGACACACCCUAAGAGGCCACCAUGAUCCCUGGCUCCUGGUGCUCACACCUCUGUGUAAUGCCCUCUCCUUGAGUACAUGUGCACCUGUCACUUGCUUCUAAUGAACAGAAUAUGCAGCGGGGUUGGAUGUCACACUGUGAUGGAGUGAUAUUAUGAGACUGUCUUGCUAACAGACUUGUUCUGGAGACUUUUUGCUGGCUCAGUGAAAUGAGCAGCACAUUGGAAAGGCUCACGUGGCUAAGAACUGAGGGCAGCUUCCAGCAGACAGCCAGUGAGGAAUCAGGAAACGAAUUCUCCUGCAUCCCGAGUGAGCUGGAAGCAGAUUCUUCUAGUGGAGCUUCCAGAUGGCACUGUGGCCAACACCCUGAUUAUAGUCUCCUGCGAUCCUGAGCAGACAGCCCAGCUAAGCCAUGCUGAGACUGACUCACAGACCCUGUGAGAUACUAAGUGUGUGUUGUUUUAAGCCUCUGAAUCUGUAGUAAUUUGUUCUGC